AAAAAAAAACAAGAGCAACAGCAACAGACAGCCUGCAGUCCCAGAACACCCACACUCUCUCACUCUCUGUGACGACUCAGAAUUUCUUCCAGACUUAAUGGAUCGCCAUUCUGGAUAAAAAAAUCAACUAAACAUGGACGCCUUCCCCUCCCUGCUUCGGCUGCCUUGUGGACACACAGGUUCACACCAAGGUCAUUACCAAGGGUUUGCUUCUCCCCCCCACCCCCCCCCGCAAGCACUCCCCCCCAGCCACACCCCUGAGGGUUGGGACAUCCUGGAAUUGCUUUGUCGAUUGGCACUGAUGGGGAGGGCUUUGAAGGAGCCGUGUGAACAUCCUUCAGGUCGAGGCCUGGGCGAAGCUGGCCCUGAGACUGGAAGACAUUCCUGGAGAAAAUGCAGGGGCUCCUGGCCACUACACGAAGUCCACAUGCAGAGGGCCGUGAAGUGGGCGGUGGGUGUGGGAGUGGGAAGGUGGAGGCGUCACACCCCUGCCCCAGGUCACGUGACAGAGGCGGAAGGGGUGAGUACAAGUCACAGUACCCAGUGGAGCCCUGCAGAGCUGCCGGCGAGUGCUGCUGGGGCUGCAGAGCGUGUGAAGCCAGGCACCCCAGGACGUUUUGGGCAUGAGCAGGGAUCAGGCCCCCAUGGGGAAGGGGAGAGUGCUGGGGAGGUCUGACCCUGGUGGGGGCAGACUGGGGGAAGGUGACUGUGCAGUGCUGAACACUGUCCACAAAAUGUCAUUCCACCUGAACCUGUGAGCAUGACCAUGUGUGGAACAGCGUGUCCGGGUGCAGCGGCUCACACCUGUAACCCCAGCACUUUGGGAAAUCAAGCUGGGAGGAGAGCUUGAGCCCAGCAGUUCGAGACCAGCCCAGGCAGCAUAGAUAGACCCUGGCUCUACAAAAAAUAGAAACAAAUUAGCUGGGUGUCAUGCUGCACACUCAUCCCAGCUACUCGGGAGGCUGAGAUAGGAGGAUCGCUUGAGCCCAGGAGGUCGAGGCUGGAGUGAGCCAUGAUUGUGCCACGGCCCUCCAGCCUGGGCGACAGAGUGAGACCCUGUCUCAAAAAAACAAAUCGAAAGACAAAAUAAGGUCCUAGAUCCAAUGACUGCUGAGAAGAGCAGGGCUGGCCACAAGAGACAAGGCCUCGGGAGGGCAGGGGCAGUGAUAGGAGAGAUGCAGCCCCAGCCCCAGAACACCUAGACCUACCAGCACCGCCCGCGGCUGGAAGAGACAGGAAAGAGCCUCCUUCAGUGCCUUCGGAGGAGCGUGACCCUGCAGCACCUGGGUCUGGACUUGGAGUCUCUAGAACUGAGAACGAGCUUCUGAUACCCCCAGUUUGCAGUACUGGGGCAUGCCAGGACCUCCCACAGCCGGUGGCCGUUCACAGUGCAGGCCUGAUCGGGGGCUGCAGACACACUCAGCCUGACCCCACGGUCCACCUGGUUUUCGUCACCUGGAGGUCGGCCCUUCCUAUCUGUAGGGUCCAGCCCCACAGGGUCAGUGGGUUUUUCUCCCCGUGUGCGGAGACAAGAAAUUGUAGAAGUAAAGACACAAGACAAAGAGAUAAAACAAAAGACAGCUGGGCCCGGGGGACCAUUACCACAAAGACGCGGAGACCUGUAGUGGCCCCAAAUGCCAGGCUGUGCUGAUAUUUCUUGGAUACAAGACAAAGGGGCAGGAUAAGGAGAGUGAGCCAUCUCCAAUCAUAGGGUCUGCUCUGUCACCCAGGCUGGAGUGCAGUGGCGCAAUCGGGUCACAGCAGCCUUGACCUCCUGGGCUCAAGCCAUCCUCCCACCUCAGCCUCCCGAGGAACAGUCACCAUGAGUGCGUGCACCACACCUGUUACAUCUCAAUCCUGGAGUUAGUUUUUCUUUCUUUCUUUCUUUCUUUCUUUCUUUCUUUCUUUCUUUCUUUCUUUCUUUCUUUCUUUCCUCUCUUUCUUUCUUUUCUUUCUUCCUUCCUUCCUUCCUUCCUUUCUCUCUCUCUCUCUCUCUUUCUUUUUUUUUUUUUUUGAGACGGAGCCUUGCUCUGUUACCCAGGCUGGAGUGCAGUGGCAUGAUUUCAGCUCACUGCAACCUCGACCUCCCAGGUUCAAGUGAUUCUCCUGCCUCAGCCUCCCGAGUAGCUGGGAGUACAGGUACCUGCCACCAUGCCUCGCUAAUUUUUGUAUUUUCAGUAGAGACAGGGUUUCACCAUGUUGGCCAGGCUGGUCUCGAACUCCUGACCUCAAGUGAUCUGUCCGCCUCGGCCUCCCAAAGUACUGGGAUGACAGGCCUGAGCCACUGCACCUGGCCACAAUCUGAAAUUCACCCUGGUACCACAACACAGAGCAGCAGCCAGCAAUGAAAGGGAAUGAACGAGUGACCACACAGUGUGGGUGAAUCUCACAACAGCUGUUCAGCUCUGUGAGUGAAGGAAGCCGGACCCCCGACGCAGCGUGCAUGCAGAGUGAUCUCAUUCACAGGAGACUCCAGAAAAUGGAAAUUGACGUAGUAACAGGAAGACGACCAGUGGCUCCUUGGGCUGGGGCUGGGGCAGGAAGACCCAGAGGAGCUUUGCAGAACGUGCUGGGUCGUGGACACGUUUCUGUAUUUUUUUUGAGACGGAGUCUCGCUCUUGUCACCCAGGCUGGAGGGCAAUGGUGCGAUCUCGGCUCACUGCAACCUCUGCCUCUCGGGUUCAAAUGAUUCUCCUGCCUCAGCCUCCCGAGUUGCUGGGACUACGGGCAUGCAUCACCACGCCCGGCUAACUUUUUUGUAUUUUAGUAGAGACGGAGUUUCACCAUGUUUGUCAGGCUGGUCUCAAAUUUCUGACCUCGUGAUCCACCCGCCUUGGCCUCCCAAAGUGCUGGGAUUACAGGCAUGAGCCACUACACCCAGCCUAUAUAUAUAUAUAUAUAUUUUUUUUUUUUUUUUUUUUUUUUUUUUUUUUGAGACAGAGUCUUGCUCUGUUGCCCAGUGGAGUGCAGUGGAGCAAUCUCGGUUCACUGCAGCCUCUACUGCCUGGGUUCAAGCGAUUCUCCUGCCUUAGCCUCUCAAGUAGCUGGGAUUACAGGCGCCCACCACCACAUCUGGCUAAUUUUUGUAUUUUUUUUAGUAGAGACAGGGUUUCAGCAUCUUGGCCAGGCUGGUCUUGAAAUCCUGACCUCGUGAUACACCCAUCUCAGCCUCCCAAAGUGUUGGGAUUACAGGUGUGAGCCACCAUGCCCGGCUGUAUUUUUUGUUUUUUUUUUUUUUUGAGAUGGAAUUUCGCUCUCAUUGCCCAGGCUAGAGUGCAAUGGCAUGAUCUCAGCUCACCGCAACCUCCGCCUCCCAGGUUCAAGCUACUCUCCUGCCUCAGCCUCCCGAGUAGCUGGGAUUAUAGGCAUGCACCACCAUGCAUGGCUAACUUUGUAUUUUUAGUAGAGACAGUUUUUCUCUAUGUUGGUCAGGCUGGUCUCGAACCCCUGACCUCAAGUGAUUCACCUGGUUCAGCCUCCCAAAGUGCUGGGAUUACAGGCACCCAGCCUUUUAUAUAUAUGUUAUAAUAUAUACUAUAUAUAAAAUAUAUUAUAAUAAUAUAUAUAUUAUAUAUGUAUAUAAUUUUUUUUGAGACAGAGUCUCCUCUGUCACCAGGCUGGAGUGCAAUGGUGCGAUCUCGGCUCACUGCAACCUCCACCUCCUGGGUUCAAGCAAUUCUCCUGCCUCAGCCUCCUGAAAAGCUGGGAUUACAGGCGUGCGCUACCACGUCUGGCUAAUUUUUUGUAUUUUUAAUAGACACGGGGUUUCACCGUGUUGGCCAGGAUGGUCUCAAUCGCUUGACCUCGUGAUCCACCCGCUUCGGCCUCCUAAAGUGCUGGGAUUACAGGUGUGAGCCACCGUGCUUGGCCUAUAUAUAUGUUUUUUGAGACAGAGUCUCACUCUGUUGCCCAGGCUGGAGUGCAGUGAGGCGAUCCUGACUCACUCAACCUCCCAGGCUCAAGCAAUCCUCCCCCCUCAGCUUCCUGAGUAGCUGGGACUACAGGUGCCCACCACCACGCUCAGCUAAUUUUUGGAAUUUUUGUAUUUUUUGCAGAGAUGAGGUCUCACCAUGUUGCCUGGGCUCCAGAUUACUUUUCUGCACACAGGAGAGCCUUAUUUCUCAUAAGAGAUUGCAGCCAGCAGGGCAGCCUUUCUGACAGGCUAGGAAGCGUAGCCUCGGGCCAGAAGCCUGGAACAGACACUUGGAGGGAGGGGCAGAGGGAAGAGGAAUUUAUGCUGAAGGAGAUGGCCAAAUAUAGGUGUCCAAUAAGCUUCAGAAGGAUCAUGAGUAUUCAUGAAAGGAGAAGCGUGUACACGUGCAGCUGAGCAAAUUCUCCAUGGGCUGCCCAGAACCACUCUCUGAUUUCUUCUCGGGCCAGAAGGAGGGGCUGACCCCUUACCCCGUCAUGGCUGAGGACUUGGGUUCAGGGUUUCUUUGGGAUCGCCUUGGCCAGAAGAAAGUCCAUUCAUUCAGUUGGGGGGUUCAUCUCAGACAACCUCCCGUCAUCACCCCUUGAGUGAGACCCAAGCCCUUCACUGCAGCCUUCGAGGUGCCAUGGUCCGGUGGACCCCCUCCUGCUCCUCUGUGGCUCUCCCUGCCGCCGUUCUCAUACUGGCAUCCCCAAUCUCCUUGAGAAGCCAUUUUCUCUACUCUGAUGUCUUUUCAGAAGUCAUGUCCUGUUCUGGGGAUGCACCCCUGCUCCUCCAGCCCCACCCGAACUGACUUAACACCCACCACCCUUCCCAGGUCAGCCCAAAUGCCACUUCCCCCAGGAAGCGCUCCCUGAUGCUGCCCUGGAUGGAAUGAGUCAGACCUGCUGUUGUUGGGCCCUGGCCGCGCCUAGAUACACUUCUAGGGUCUAUACUCGAGUAUCCAGGUGAUCACGCUGCUGAGGUUGGCUUCUCCUGAUCAAGCAUCAACUCUGGGACUGUGUUUGCCGAUUCUGCUCCCUAACGCAGCCGCAGGGGCCAGCACGCUGCCUGGCACGUCAUGGGGGCUUCUCCAUGUUGGGUGGAUAUGUGAACGGCUUCCUGAGAAAGUGCAGGAUGUCAAGGAACGCAGAGGGUGGCGGCAGCGUGGAGGGCAGAGGGAAGGCACACGGCGAGGACUGCGUUGGGCCAGCCUGUGGUCUAUUUCACAGCAGACAAGGAACAGCAACAGCCUGCAGUGUGCUCCAGAGGACACUGGGGAAGGGGCCUGGCUGACAUCUCGCUACCCGGUCAGCCUGUACCCUCCUUCCGCCAUCUUUCUGUGGUCAUAAAGGAUCCCUUGAGCCACUUGAUUUUCUGUCAUUGAUACAUUAUCAAUGACCUAGAGUCACCAAACACCUCUCAACAAGCCAUGGUCUCCACCUGACAUCUGGAACAACGCUCCCGGGGCCUGGGAGGACCACACGUUGAAAGGAAAGAGCAGAGGACACUGGCUCUCAUGGCAGGAUGGUGUGUGCACAGGACGCUGUGGGAGAGGAAAACAGCCAUGCGUGGGCUGGCUGCUCGGAGGAGACACAGGAACCAUGAACACGUCUGCCCCGGCCGCUCCCUGGUUCCAUGCGUGCUCGUCUUGGGCACCACGAGAACACAGCCAUGCAGCCCCCGAUCCUGCAGCCACAGCCGCGGCACCGCCUGGUCAGAUGCAGCAUCUGCUCCGGGUGCCUCUCGCUGUCGGUGCAAGGCCUGCCAGGCCGAGCCCCGAUUCUCAGGGGCGGCAGGAGGUGGGAGUCACGUUUGGGUGGAUCUUUAAAAUGGCACCUUUCAAAUGGGUCCUUUCAUCUCUCCUUCCCCCAACGAAUCAGCUCCCCAAUGGGACGGGCAGGUAGGGCCAGGAGGGCAAAAGGCUGAGGGCACAGUUUACCAUCUUUCGGGAGGAUGACGGCGGCCUUGGAGAGCCCCAGAAUGUCACAUGCGUCCAUGAAUUCCUUCAGACUCUGGAAGCUCGAAACAUUCUGUCUAUCUGAGGUGGAGAUCAGGAUCACAUGAGAGAGUCUAGCUCUGGCCGUUUUGGGGUCUGCACCCUGACCCCAUCCCUACCCCAGGAGCUGCUGAAAUGUCCUCAGAGUUUAGGCAUGAAGCAGGGCUUGGCCAGGGGAGGACAGCGGCCGCUGGGCCCCUCCCCACUUAGGAGGCAGCCAGGCUCGGGAAGCCGGGGUCUCCAUGCUGUCGCCUGGGGAACCCUCUCUGCCUGCAGAGUCCCCUCCAGCCAGCCCCUCAGCUGUGCCCCAGCUUGCUGCACCCUGAGCGUGCCCCACCUCAACUGAGACCCCAGGACCCACCUCUCCUCUACCCCUUCCAACUGGGAGGGCCACUUCUUUCCCUGUACCACAGGUGGUUGGUGCCUAGAAUUGGGUUUGCGGCCCUUAACCCACACUGGGUCACUUCCACACCCCUCCAUCCCGGGCAGACCCUUACCUGGGACCCCUCCGGCGCCUCCUCCUCCCCAUUGUGUCCCUCACCCAGAACGUUGCACCUGCACCCCCCACCAUCCUGGUGGCCUCCACUCCCCCUGGAUGGCCCACCUUGCUCUGCCGCCUCUUCCUGGCAUCCCCUAUCCUUGCUUCAGCGACCUCCAGGACCUGACUGCUGUGGUCUUGGCUUCCACUGCCCCUGCCCUGACCACAGCCCCAACCUCCACUCUCCCUGCCCGCCUCACCCCCUGGGUCCUGCCCGGCCCCGUGUGCCCAGCGCCCCUCUGUGCCUCCCUCUGCACCCCCUCCACCAUCCCCCGCCACCCGCUGUGCCCACUCACGGAAGAGCAGCAGGUUCUUGUAGUUUUGGGCUGCGCGCCCCAGGCGGAGGUAGACCAGGCCGUAGCUGUAGUCAGUGGACAGCACAUGGAAGGCCUUCACCCCUUUCACUGAAAGAGACUCCCAGGAUGCCCGCUGGUUCCCGGAUGGUGUGGCUGUGCCCGCCCGCAGCGCUGACCCCUGGUGUCCGAGGUUUCAGAGCCCCCACCCAGGUGCAGGUGUCCAGAGAGGCUGAGUGCCCUCCGGGGGCCUCCCCUCCCGGGCCAGGCCGCCCAGCACAUGACGUGUGGGCUCUGGGAACACAGCCAGCCUGACACCCGCCUGCUACGUGCUCUCGGGGACAAGGGGUCUGCUCAAGGCACAGGGGGGACAGAGGCAUCUCACGCAGUUCCUCUGGGGCCCAGAGCCCCAGCACACCUCCCUCCCGUCCUUCCCUCGGGCCCGCCGCAUACGCACAGGUGUUCCUGAACACCGGCUUCUUCCUGUCUUUCCUCAGGAUCACCUCCUGGGACUGGCACCCCUUCAACCUGGGGCCAAGGCGGGGGCUCAGGCUGCAGACCAGGGAACCCCUCCUCCCACCCGCCAGCCGCCGAGCCCCACCCACACGUCUCGGUCCCACCCCUGCUCCCGUGGGACCUGGGAAGGUUGAGGCCCCAGGUCCCCAGUUUUUUGCUUCACUAUCCAACUCGUGUCAAUUUGAGGCUCUGUGGUUUGAGGAUUUUCCAGUUCGGACUGGGGCCUGUCCCACGGCACGGGAGAAACUCCCAACUCCCACCCGUGGGGGCCCAGGGGCUGCAGGCGGCUCCCAUGUGGGGGCCCAGGGCCUGCAGGCGGCUUCCUCUGAGUUUAGGGGGGAGGAAGUCGGGGGGAUGGUCCUUGUGGAACUUCCAGACAGACGGGCUCCUCCCAGACUCCUUUCCAGCCCCCAGGCAGCUCCCUCCUCCUGGAAGGGGAGACCCUUUCCUGGGGGGCGCUGCCCACUCACCGGCUGAAGGCGAGGAGCACGCAGAGCUGGCACACUUUGUUCACCUUUACCACGGACGCCCCCAGCUUCCUCUUGUCUCUGGCCGGCAAGAAUCCCUGGGCGUCAGUAGCCGUGGCCAGAAUGUACCAGAACCCUGAAAACUGAGCAGCGGGUGUGUGGGUGGGGACAGGAGCUGCCACCUGGGGGCUGUCCCCACCCCCGAGGUUCCCAGCUAGAGAACCCAGGAGACAAGUGACCCUUCUGUGAGCCGGAGCCCAGCCCCACCCAGGUGCCACCUUGGUCCCGGCCACUCAAGCCCUGGCCACUGGAGCAGGGCCGCAGAGAAGCAGGUGCCCAGCUGGUCAGGGACACCAGGCAGCACAGGGCUGGGCUGUGGGCACCAGCAGGUGGGAGGCCCCCCUACCUCAGAGGCCCCGGCUCCUUUCCAUGUGGCCUCCUGGGGGCCGGGUACUGCUCGGCCACUUCCCUUCCCGCCGGCUCCCGGCUCCCAACUCUGCCUGCUGCCAACCCCAGUGCCCUGGGCACCACCGUGCCAAUGAGUGCUGCUCCCACGGCUCACUCAGCAGGUGCCCGGGCCCUCCCGCUACAGAAUAUGCCCCGCUUGCUCCACACCCACUCUGCACUCUGGGCGUCACCCGACCUCCUCGGCCACAGCUCUCUGGGUCCCUCCACCCUGACCCUCCCUGACCCCCCGACCCCCCUGAACCCCCUCGAGGCUCCCUGCCUUUGCCCUGCAACUUGCGGGGCCCCUUGCCGGAGGCUGCAGUGGGAGAGGCCAGGUGGGCUGUGCCCGUGCCUGGAACUCCUGGUAGCCCUGCUCCUGGGCGGCUGCCGGGAGACUGUGCAGGAACCUGCUUCAGCUCCAGGGCCGGCUCCCUGCUCAGGGACCAGCGGCACAUGGCUCACCUUGUUCCAGUUGAGGGUGUGGGACUCCCUGGGGUACCACUCCUGUACCUGGGACCCUGCAGCCAGCCCCAGCCCCAGCCCCAGCACCAACACCAGCAGCCCCUGCCUCAUCUUCACCCUCCUCCCUCAGCCGCCAAGGCCAGUGUUUAAACCUCCCUGGAGCUGCCAGCCUGUGUUGGGAGACGAUGGAGGGGAGGGAGGGGAGGGAGGCAGCAGGUGUGGCCUUGGGCUCUGCUACUCUCUCCCCGCCCAGGGACCACCCUCAGACACUCCGGCACAGCCAGCACUGCCCCGCCCUGUGGUCACCACUGGCCUGGGCUGCCCCGGCAGACAGAGGCCUCUCUGAGGCCCCAGGACCCUCCUGCCCUCUGUGCCCGGCCUGGGGUCACUGUGUGUGCCCCUGAGACUCAUUAAGCCCUGGUCCUCAUCCCAGACCUCCCAGGUCACAGGCAAAGGGCUGGUUGUGGCCCUUCUGGGGCAGAUGUGGACGUGGGAGCCCCGCGCGGCAGCCACCCACACAGCCCCCGCCACCUUCUUGAGGGCCUGGCACCCAGCACCUGAGCAGGUACCGAAGGGCGGGCCGGGGCUGUGUGCCCGUGCCCAUGAGUGUGUGUGUGUGCAUGUGUGAGUGCGUGCUCACAUGUGCAUGCAUGUGCAUGCCCAGUCUGGCAGGUCAAGGCAUCUGUGUGCACCUCGCCUCACUCCAGCCAUGAGCCUCUCACAGUCCCCAGCCCUGCAUCCAGCCCCGAGGCCCCCAUGGCCUGUGUUUCUCCCAGGAUGGCAGGCAGCCCCCCACGCCCAUCAGAACACAGGAGGACCUGCAGGCUCGGGCGUCUGGGGUCCCCGUGCCUGCCCAGGCAAGAGCCACAACCCCAGCCCAGAGAAGCCUGAGCCUGGGGGAUCGGGGGCCUCUCUGAGCCCCACCAACCACGUCUCUCUUGUCCUGGGCAAUCCUUGGAGCCUGUGGCACCCCAGCCAUGGUCCUGGUGGACAUCACUGCUGGCUCCCUCCCAGGCUGUGUCCCCUGACCAGCCCCCACCUCCGAGCCGGGGCCCGAGUUUGGGUGUCCGAAGACCCAGAGGGGCUCUGGCAAGGGACUGGGUUGGGCAUGCGUCUUCUUUGCAGCUGGCUCUAUGGUUCUGUGGCUUGGCCCUUGGUGAUGACCCCCGCCAUCCUCCCCGCAAUUCCCCGGCUGUCCCCCAGUCAAGAGCAUCCUUGGUUUGCUGUGGAAUCGCUUUAUUCUGAGCUGGUGCUGGGCCCCGGGAGCCGCUGAGCAAGGUGGGUAGACACUGGCCGAGGUCACAGGACCCUGCGGGCGCCAUCCCUACUGGGGAUGCAGCACUCACUGAAAACCAAGAGGAGUGUGAGGGGCCCAGCACGCCACGGAGGCGCCCUCCACACCCUCAGCCGCCUUAGAGGCAGUGGAGCCACGAACCCCGUGGGCUUGGGCAGAGGGUCCUCCCGUCUACUGUGCGUAGCGUGGCCUCCCCAACCCCCUACCCCCAAGGGAGCCGGGGUGAGGCUCAGGACGGCGGCUUACCGGAAGGAUCUUGUGAGCACAGGUGACUAGAAGGGAAGGCAAGACUGGCUGUGAAAAAGGACUGCGCCCCCCAGCACCCCAGGGCCCCGCCCACAAGACUCCCCGGCCAUGGGGACCAGCCCCCCAGGCCUGACUUUGGGCAGGGGCAGGUGAAGACCUCCUCAGCCUGCCUGACUCCCUGAGGGCGACUGAGUCAGGCAGAAGCCAGAAUCAGCCCCAGGGUCUGUGUCACCCCAUCACGCCCUGUGGGCUCCAGAACUUGCCCCAAGCCUCCCCUGUGGCUGCUCCGGUGGACACUCACGGUCCUUCUGCAGCUGGGCCUGCUGCUGUGACAGGAAGCCCAGGCUCCUGCUCCACUUGGUGAAGAGCCCCAUGGCCUCCUGGCUGGCUGUCUCCGUCCGACCUGGGGGCACCAGGGCAGUGCAGGGGGAAGCAACCUCUGAGAGCUGGGGAGAGGCGGGGAGGGGCCAGGGAGGGGCUGGGAAGGGUCAGGGAGGAGGCCACCUGCCCUGGGAAGGACCCCGGUCCUUCCAAGGCCACCUCCAGUGCAGCCAUUGGUCCCGCACGGCACACUCACCGUACAGCUCCCCACGUGGGCCCCGCACGGCACACUCACCGUACAGCUCCCCACGUGGGCCCCGCACGGCACACUCACCGUACAGCUCCCCACAUGGGCCCCGCACGGCACACUCACCACACAGCUCCCCACGUGGGCCCCGCACGGCACACUCACCACACAGCUCCACGGUGUUGAAGGGUUCAUCCCCGAACUCCAGCUGAGUGAAGAUGAUGACAUAGUCUCUGAAGUUGGUGACCAGCACCCGGAGCUCCAGCACGCCUAUCGCUAGGAAACAAAACUCCCCGCCAUGGGGGAGAGCAGCUGCUGUAUCCGUCCAGGGGCCGCUGAGCUGGUGCUGGCCACAGGGACGGAGGAGCCAAUUCAAGUGAGAGCGCCCAACCCCAGGAGACCCCUCCAAGCACACCCAGAGCCCCCAAGCUUUGUCCCCCACCCCAGACCCCACCUGGUACCAGCAUCAAGGGGCUUUCAGACACUGACGGACAGACAGACAAGCACUGCCCCAGCCUGUCCCGGGUGUGAAUGAGAAGCGGCUGGGUCACACCGGCCCAGCCCUGUCCCUGUGGACAGCCACUGAACAGGCGCCUCGCCUUCUGCACCUAUGGGGACCUUGGCUGGGCCCCACUGGCGUCUGAGCCUGAUGGGAGUAAGCUUCCAGUCCUCUGUCCGGGGGCCUCUCUUCACCCUCAGGAUGGGCACCAAUCCCAAGACCAGACCCUGUAGCCUCCUGGCACUCGGGAGUGGAGUCAGCCCUCCGUCCCUGCCCGCAGGGGGCCUGGGGAUGCUGCAGGGAAGAACCGCCUGGGUGAGGCCGUGGCCAUCAGACUCACAGGGAUUCUCAAACACCCAUCCCGAGUUUCGCUUUAUUAGCUCCACGACACUCUAGCUGCACCCUUCCAGCCUGGAAAAGAAGGGGCCCGUCACCCACUCAGGGUCAAGACCCCGGGGCCCGGUGAGAGGAGACGGAGCCCAGGAGUCCAGGCCAGGCCAGCCGGCAGUGAGGCCAGAGCUUCCAUCUUCUGCCAGAUGCCCUGAUGCCCGGAAACCUGCUCUCGGGGAGUGGACGGCACGGGAGUCCUGAGAGGGGCGGACACUCCCGUUCACCUCCUGAGAGAUCCUCAGUGCCAGAUCUCCACCAGGAAUCCUGAAUGCUGCUGAGGAAGCAACAAGAGACUCGACAGACGGGAGAAUUCCCGACAAAGGCUUGCUGAGACGACAGGCUUCCCCAGCUUUGACCACAGCCUGAAGCCCAGAUGACCCAGGACAGGGAUGCAUGAAGGAGCGUGGUCAGAGCAGUGCCUGCCCGCGGUAUUGAAGGUGGGAGUGCCACCUGGAGGCCCCAGGGACACAGAUGUGAGUAGCUGGGCAGAGGGCUGGUGGCUCUGCACAGAGCCCAGAGGGAAAAGUGAGGGGGGGUGCAGAGGGGCCGUGGGAAGCCCCCAGGCCGCGGUGCCCGGGAGCAGAUGUGCAAAGUACAUGAUGUGGCUGAGCCACAGUCCUGCCUAUGGGAAGGCCUGGCAGGACCCGCCCCACUCACCCGUGCUGGGAGGACAGAAUUCGCAGGCUGUUUUCUGGAGUGAGGGUCACCACCACCCCCGCGACGUUCUUCAUGUCCUUCUCCACUGCAAAGCCCUUUUCCCGGGAGGCCACCGCAAGCACGUACCAGGGCCCAAGAAGCUGCAUUGAGGCCGCUCCUGUGAGGGCCAGCAGCCCUCCAGCCUCCAGCCUCCAACCUCCAGCCUUCCAGCCCUGCAGGCUCCAGCCUCCAACCCUCCAGCCUCAGCCUCCAGCCUCCAACCCUCCAGCCUUAGCCUCUAGCCUCCAACCCUCCAGCCUCCAGCCUUCCAGCCCUGCAGGCUCCAGCCUCCACCCUCCAACCAUCCAGCCUUCCAGCCUCCAACCCUCCCACCCUCUAGCCUCCCCACCCUUGCAGCCUCUAGCCUCCAGCCCUCCAGCCUUCCACCCCUCUAGCCUCCAACCUCUAGCCCUCCAGCCUCCAGCUCUCCAGCCCUCCAGCCUCCAGCUCUGCAGCCUCCAGCCUCCAGUUCUCCAGCCCUCUAGCCUCCAGCCUUCCAGCCUCCAGCCUUCCAACCUCCAGCCUCCAGCCCUCCAGCCUCCAGUCUCCAGAUCUCCAGCCCCACAGCCUCCAGCCCUCCAGCCUCCAGGCCUCCAGCCUCCAGCCCUGCAACCUCCAGUCUCCAGCCUCCAAUUCUCCAGCCCUCCAGCCUCCAACCCUCCAGCAUCCACCCCUCCUGCCCUGAGGCUCCUGCCUUUGGGACUCCCCAUGGGCUGGCCCAACUCAUUCCCCACUGCCCAUGCUGGUCUGGGCUGGCCCUGGGGACCCAGAAGCUGUGUGGCCUUAAAGGAGGGGCUGGCCCCCGAGGACCAGCUUUCCCCACCCGCAGGAGGACGAUACCUGCUUAGGGUCCAGUCUUCCCAACCACAGGGCAUGGACCCUGGGCACCGAGACCAAAGCCAGAAGAGCAGCCAGCAGCAGGCCGCCCAUCCUCCCAGAAGUUUCCAGAAUGGGCAUCCUAAAGCCAGCAGCACCACCUCCCCCUUUCCUGGGGACCCACGCUCUCCCUUGCCCAGUCUGGGAAGCAGGGACUCUGCUGUCCGCUGCCAGGCCCUGCAGGAGGCCAAGGUCAAGCCCAAGGAGAGGAACCAGGGCGAGAACAAGUGGUUCUUAGGAGCUGUGGUUUUCGAUAUCUUUUGUUUCAAUCAUUAAAUAUAAAAAGUCCCUGAAAGCCUUUUGAAAAAGGCUCCCACCCCCUCCUGCUCACCCACCGUUCUGCUUUGUGGCCUGGCCUCUGUCUCCCACAGCCAGCACCCCCAGACCAGACUGUCCUCUUCCUUCCACCCCUGCAGCCCACCAUCCGGCCCUGCUGCCUCCUGCCUCCCCUCCCUGGGACCCUGGCCUGCUUGUGCCUCCCAAGGCCCCUUGAGAGCUCUCUGCAGCCCCCGUCCGGGAGCAGAGGACAGAGGUGCUCGGCAAGGUCUAUCUGAGCCCCUGAAGCCCACUGGGAGGCAGCCGAGAGGGUCCUCCCCCAGUGCCGUGGCCUGCACCCUCUGGGAUUCACUCCCACACACCUUCGCUCAUUCAUCAACAAGGGUGCCAGGAGCAUGUCCGUGCAACAAGGCUCCAGUGCCCAGGGCCGCCUGCACUCACAGAGCUGACACUGCAGCCCUGGCCGCCUGCCUUGUACCCACGCAGCAGGGCCUGUGACCACCAGAGUGCAGGAGGGAGGCAGAAACCACACAGCUACUGGGGGCCAGGCCUGCGAAGACUGACCGGGCAGUGGGGCCACGGAGGUGCCAGCCAAAGCCAUGGCAAGCAGGAGUUGCCCAGGGGCUGAGCCACAGAACAAGGGGGCGGGACACUUAGGCCUGGAGCCUUCAGGAGGGAGCUGUGGCUGGGCACGGUGGCUCACACCUGUAGUCCCAGCACUUUGGGAGGCUGAGGCGGGAGGAUCGCUUGAGUCCAGGAGUUUGAGACCAGCCUGGGCGACAUAGCGAGACUUCGUCUGUACAAGCAAAUUUUAGCUGGACAUGGUGGCGUGCUCCUGUAGUCCCAGCUACUCAGAAAGCUGAGGUGGGAGGAUUGCUUGAGCCCAGGAGGUUGAGGCUGCAGUGAGCUGUGAUCGUGCCACUCCACUCCAGCCUGGGUGACAGAGCAAGACCCCAUCUCUAAAAUAAAAUAAAAAUACAAAAAAGUAGGAAGCCAAGCAGCUGGGCCAGGCCUCUGAGAAGGAAACACCCGCCAGUCCCACUAGUGUCCCUAAGGGCUGCAGGAGGCUGGUUCCCGAGGUAGCCACAAAACAGCACACACCAUCAGCCAAGCGAAGCGCUAUGGCUCAGGCCUGUCAUCCCAGCACUUUGGGAGGCCAAGGCGGGUGGAUCACCUGAGGUCAGGAGUUCGAGACCAGACUGGCCAACAUAGUGAAACUCCGUCUCUACUAAAAGUACAAAAAUUAGCUGGGUGUGGUGACACACGCCUGUAAUCCCAGCUACUCGGGAGGCUGAGGCAGGAGAAUCGCUUGAACCCAGGAGGCGGAGGUUGCAGUGAGCCGAGAUUGCGCCACUGCACUCCAGCCUGGUUGACAGAGUGAGUAAGACUCCGUCUCAAAAAACAAACAAACCAACAAAAAAAAACAAAGGAUAAACCUCAGAGUCUAGUUCCCUGCCGGGGUGUGGAGCUGGAACAGAGUGGGGGGAUGAAGUUAGACUUUUUCUGAGUAAACGUUUUUGUACAGUUUUGACUUUGGAAUCAAGGUAAUUUGGUAUAUUAUACUCAAAAGUAAAAUAAACAAAUUCCUAACAUGGGA